UACAGAGGCCUCGAACGUUAUGCGGAAUCACUGGGCUUAAAGCGUGUGUAGGCGGAUGCCUAAGUGCUUUGUGAAAUCCCACGGCUCAACCGUGGAAUUGCUUGGCAUACUGGGUGUCUUGAGCCAUCUAGGGGCGAGCGGAACAAGUGGUGGAGCGGUGAAAUGCGUAGAUAUCACUUGGAACGCCAACGGUGAAAACAGCUCGCUGGGGAUGUGCUGACGCUGAGACACGAAAGCCAGGGGAGCGAACGGG
rnacentral:rRNA from 1 species